GCCGGGAGUGGUGGCGCACGCCUGUAAUCCCAGGUACUAGGGGGGCUGAGGCAGAAGAAUUGCUUGAACCUGGGAGGCAGAGGCUGCAGUGAGCCGAGAUCAUGCCACUGCACUCUAGCCUAGGCAACAGAGUAAGACUCUGUUUCAA
ensembl:misc_RNA Metazoa_SRP Metazoan signal recognition particle RNA